AAAUGAAUAGACGGGGGCCCGCACAAGCGGUGGAGCAUGUGGUUUAAUUCGACGCAACGCGAAGAACCUUACCAGGUCUUGACAUCCUCUGACCUACUAAGAGAUUAGUACUUCUGACUUGUCAGACAGAGAGACAGGUGGUGCAUGGUUGUCGUCAGCUCGUGUCGUGAGAUGUUGGGUUAAGUCCCGCAACGAGCGCAACCCUUGUUCUUAGUUGCCAUCAGGUAAAGCUGGGCACUCUAAGGAGACUGCCGGUGACAAACCGGAGGAAGGUGGGGAUGACGUCAAAUCAUCAUGCCCCUUAUGACCUGGGCUACACACGUGCUACAAUGGCCUGUACAGAGGGUAGCGAAGCCGCAAGGUGAAGCCAAUCCCCAAAGCAGGUCUCAGUUCGGAUUGUAGGCUGCAACCCGCCUACAUGAAGCAGGAAUCGCUAGUAAUCGCGGGUCAGCAUACCGCGGUGAAUACGUUCCCGGGCCUUGUACACACCGCCCGU
rnacentral:rRNA from 1 species